AGGGGGUUUGAUCAUUGGCUCAGAUUGAACGCUGGCGGCAUGCCUAACACAUGCAAGUCGAACGGUAACGAUGGAGAGCUUGCUCUCCAGGCGACGAGUGGCGGACGGGUGAGUAAUACGUAGGAAUCUACCUUGUAGCGGGGGACAACUCGAGGCAAACUCGGGCUAAUACCGCAUACGCCCUUCGGGGGAAAGCUGGGGAUCUUCGGACCUGGCACUAUUAGAUGAGCCUACGUCGGAUUAGCUUGUUGGCGGGGUAAUGGCCUACCAAGGCGACGAUCCGUAGCUGGUUUGAGAGGACGAUCAGCCACACUGGGACUGAGACACGGCCCAGACUCCUACGGGAGGCAGCAGUGGGGAAUCUUGGACAAUGGGGGCAACCCUGAUCCAGCAAUGCCGCGUGUGUGAAGAAGGCCUGCGGAGUUGUAAAGCUACUUUCCAG
rnacentral:rRNA from 1 species